rnacentral:rRNA from 1 species
GCCCUUCCUACGGGAGGCAGCAGUGGGGAAUUUUCCGCAAUGGGCGAAAGCCUGACGGAGCAAUACCGCGUGAGGGAUGACGGCCUAUGGGUUGUAAACCUCUUUUUUCAGGGAGGAAAAAAAUGACGUUACCUGAAGAAUAAGCAUCGGCUAACUCCGUGCCAGCAGCCGCGGUAAUAAGGGC